UUUCCAUUCGCGCUUCAUUAUGAACGAACGUUACAUCUUUAACACGAAACCAAUACACCAAAACACUCAUUCUCUUCGAAUCUCUCUGAACAUCACUCAAACUUCAAUCACAUUUUUUGCGGAAACCACUACUACAAACGAAUCGGAAGAAGAUUUCGCAAGCAACAACCAGAAACAAACUAAAAGAGCAACAAAGACUACAAAAGAAAACUCACUAUUGCAAAUGCCAAACAAAGGCAAUAGCAACAGUGUACAGGGAAAUGAGUCAAGAAAAGAAAGAUAUUGCGGAAGAAAUGGGAUUUGGUGCCCUGGCACAUGUGCCAGAAAUGAACGUCUAUAAUACACUGUUGAUAGAAUUGCUUGAUCGGUUUGAUGUGGAGAGAGGAUGCCUGAAAACUCUACAGGGGACAAUAUACAUAACUCCUCAGAAAGUAGCAGCUGCCAUCGGCAUAACCAACAGAGGGAAUCUUUUUCCUAAAAAGGUUGAUUACAACAAGUUGAAUCCAGCAGACAAGGAAAUAUUUGACAGCGUCAAAAAUAUUUCCUUGGUGACUUUGGCAAGGAAUGUGCUGGAUAUGAGUAUAGAAGGGGAGGAGAACUGGAAAAAAUUCAAGAGGACUUUUGUUGUCUUCAUACAAAAGUGCUUCUUGCUCCCCACAACAGUAAGUGUGGCCUCCCCAAUCCACAAGCCACCGAUCUUUCAUGUGGACAACAUUAGGGAAUGGGAUUGGGCAAAGCAUGUUCUCAACUUCUUAAUGAAAAGAGUUGAAAAUAAGAGAGAUGGGAAGAAACAGUCUGUUGAUGGCUGUGUUUUUGUAUUAAUGUUGAUAUACUUCCGUGAAACAAAGUUCCCCCGCCUGUUUGCACCUGAUGCUCCCCUUGCAUCAUGGGUGGCCUAUUGGACAAGGGAAAAGAUCAUUGAACGGAUUUCAUCCAAAACAACACAACCAUUGGGACUUCUGUAUAGAAAGAAAAAAAGAAAUAAAAAACAAAAAUAAGUAACUUGGACGAAAAAGAAAAAGGAAAGAAAAUAAAAAAGAAAACUGUUGAGACAGAUUCUUCUUCAGAAGAGGAAAGACUUUCCCAAUCUGAAUAUGAAAGCCAGGAAGAAGAAAUAAAAAAAACCACCACAAAAAAAGAAAACAACCAUUGAAGGUGGUUAAAAAAAAAAAGCCUCUGCCUAUAGAUUCAGAGAGCACAAGCAAAUCUGAAAACGGAGAAAAUGAAAUUGAGAAAACACCCAUAAUAAAAAGAAAAAAACAACCCGAAAGGGUGGCAAAAAUACCAACCCAACCUGACAAGGAAAUUGAACAAGCAAAAGACAAUGCUACCAAAAAAAGAAAACGAGCAUUGGAGAUGAUAAGGGAAAAAAGAUCAAAGAAAAGAAAUGAUGGAGCUCAGUCAACAAACAUUGCUCUGGAUCAGUUUGACUCUCCACAGGCACAAAAUAAUUUCUCUCAAACGGUGCCGACUAUAAAUAUGGAUAGUGAACAAGUCUUACAGACUCAAGGAAGUUCUACACCUUCUGUAAAUGCUGCGAGCAAUAUCAGAAAAAAUACCCCGGAAAGUCCGGUCAAAUAUUUUAGAAAAAAUAAAAUCUUCCAAGAAAGACGUCUAAAACUCCACGAGUAGCUACACCUGAAUCUGAAGUACAAAUCAUUGAGUUUCAACAACAAACUCGUUUGGAAUCUUUGGAAGUACCUCCUCUUGCAUUGGCUCUUCCAAGUUCAGUUUAGGAAGAGUUGAUGAAGGAUGACUUUAUCUAUGUCCCUCCACAAGAGGAAAAACAACAAACUUCUAAUAAUAACUGCCCUCAAGAAGCUGAAAAGCAGGGUAUUACAGUAUCUCUUAUGAGUUCUGUAAUUGAAGACUUAUUCAAAGAUGACUAUGUGUAUGAAAUUUCUAAUAAAGAAACAACAGCAACAAGCCCAAGAACCACCGAUGCAACAACAAUCAGAACAAGAAGCACCUGUUAAUGUAUCUCUGGAACAGCCCUGCGAAGAACCAACAGCGCAACAAUCCAAACAAGAAGAACCUGUUCAUGUAUGCCCUCUAGAACCCAAAAAGUAGGCUGUUACAGGGUCUCUUACAAGCUCUGUUAUUGAAGAGUUUUUCAAGAAUGCCGAUGUCUAUCAAGUUUUUGAUGAAGAACAAUCACAAGAACCUCAAGUGGCACGACAAUCAGAAAACAAAACUCUAAUCUUGUCAUCAUUUGACAGUGCUGCUCAACCUAAGGAAAGGGAAGAUGAAAGGCCUUCCUUUAGCCGUGGGAUAAGUCCACCAGCAUCUCAACCAACUCAGCCCUCUCAAGAGAGUAAUUCACAGUUUGAAAUCCUGGUAGAGGCGGUGGUAAAUGCUGGAGUGGCAGCAGCAUUAAAAUUUGCUAAAGGAACAUCUUCAGAACCAACCUUAACAGCGGCUCAAGUUUACAAAACCCCGUAGAAAAAGACAAAAAUCACAAAUGAGCUUAUCGAAAAGUGUUAUCAUUGAAUGACACAUGUGAAAAAGACAAAAGAUGGUACCAAUGAAUAUGAACUUGUAUUUGUCUUGAAACAUGAGGGACUCUACAAGGGAUUAAGAGAAUAUUUCAUGUCUCUAAUGCCCAAAGAAGAUGUGCAUGCUGUAGUGGUUAGUAUACACAGCAUGAUUCUCAACGAAAUAAAAACUAAGCGGUAUGAGAAACAAAUAUACAUUGUGCCACAGGAUAUUGUGUUUGCAGAAUUUUAUGUUGGGAAGAUAUGGCGUGGAGUACAUUGAUGAGAGGACAAACAAAUCCUACAGGUUUGAUAUUGACCAGUAUGCCCACCAC